AUGCUAUGGAUUUUGGGUCAACGGGCUGCAAAUGAGAUCUUAGAUUUUGACUUGUACCCAGCACCCGGCGUUCGCCCGGGAGGGAGGCAAGGCUUCCUGCGUCCCCAGAGCUCCCGAUCCCGGGGAGGCGGCCACGUCCCCCUGCAACACGCCUGGGGGGCGGGAACAUGGGACGGAGUUAUCUCUAGCUCCCAUACCACCACUACCACCAUCACAGCGCCUCCCUCCAGGGUCCUGCAGAAUGGGGGAGAUAAGUUGGAGACGAUGCCCCUCUACUUGGAAGAAGACAUUCGCCCUGGUAUAAAAGAUGAUAUAUAUGACCCCACCUAUAAUGAUAAGGAAGGCCCAAGCCCCAAGGUUAAUUAUGUCUGGAGAAACGUCAUCCUUAUGUCUCUGCUACACUUGGGUGCCCUGUUUGGGAUCACUUUGAUUCCUACCUGCAAGUUCUACUCCUGGCUUUGGGGGUUAUUCUACUAUUUUGUCAGGGCCCUGGACAUAACAGCAGGAGCUCAUCCUCUGUGGAGCCAACCCUCUUACAAAGCUCGGCUGCCCCUACGGCUCUUUCUGAUCAUUGCCAACACAAUGGCAUUCCAGAAUGGUAUCUAUGAAUGGGCUCACGACCACCGUGCCCAUCACAAGUUUUCAGAAACACAUGCUGAUCCUCGUAAUUCCAGACAUGGCUUUGUCUUCUCUCACGUGGGUUGGCUGUGCAAACACUCAGCUGUCAAGGAGAAGGGUGGUACGCUAGACUUGUCUGAUCUAGAAGCCGAGAAACUGGUGAUGUUCCAGAGGAGGUACUACAAACCCCGGUUUGCUGCUGAUAUGUGCUUCACCCUGCCCACGCUUGUGCCCUGGUGUUUCUGGGGUGAAACUUUUCAACACAGCUUGUUCAUUGCCACCUUCUUGCGGUAUGCUGUAGUGCUUCAUGCCACCUGGCUGGUGAACAGUGCUGCUCACCUCUUCGGAUAUCGUCCUUAUGACAAGAACAUUAGCCCCCGGGAGAAUGUCCUGGUUUCACCUGGAGCUGUUGGUGAGGGCUUCCACGAGUACCACCACUCCUUUCCCUAUGACUACUCUGCCAGUGAGUACUGCUGGCACAUCAGCUUCACCACAUUCUUCAUUGAUUGCAUGGCCUCCCUGGGUCUGGCCUAUGACCGGAAGAAAGUCUCCAAGGCCUCCACCUUGGCCAGCAUUAAAAGAACCGGAGACUGAAGCUACAAGAGUGGCUGAGUUUGGAGUCCCUCAGGUUCCUUUUACAAAAGCCAGCCAGGCAGAGGUUUUAAUGUCUGUUUAUUAACUACUGAAUAAUGCUACCAGGAUGCUAAAGAUGACGAUGUCAACCCAUUCCAGUACAGUAUUCUUUUAAAAUACAAAAGUAUUGAAAGCCAACAA